GAGCUCAAGGCAGUUUGCUGACUCCACUGAGACACCAUCAUGCUGACAGUCAUUUUCUUUGCUCUGCUCCUCGCUGGGAUAGACGACGGGAUAGCUGAAGAAGGAUCGGGGGAAAUCGUCAUUGAUCCCCCAGAGAUGGGGAAGACCACCUACUCCACAAAUCCUCCAGAGACUCCUCCUCCAACAUACAAGAUCAUCUAUGACACCUUCGAAGACCUGUAUGGAGAUGGCACCGGUGAAACCGUCGCCCCCACCCAGUAGCUCCUCCUCGCACUCCACACAGCAGGAGAAGAGGACACAGCCCCUGCUAGACUGAGAGACAACACCCUGGCCACUUCCCGCACUGUUACCCUGCUGGACCCCUUCCGCCUUGCUUCCCUUACAAUAAAAUCUGCAUGAGCUCAA